rnacentral:rRNA from 1 species
AUUGAACGCUGGCGGCAUGCCUUACACAUGCAAGUCGAACGGCAGCAUGGGUGCUUGCACCUGAUGGCGAGUGGUGAACGGGUGAGUAAAGCAUCGGAACGUACCGUGAAGUGGGGGAUAACGUAGCGAAAGUUACGCUAAUACCGCAUAUUCUGUGAGCAGGAAAGAGGGGGAUCGCAAGACCUCUUGCUUUACGAGCGGCCGAUGUCGGAUUAGCUAGUUGGUGGGUAAAGGCCUACCAAGGCGACGAUCCGUAGCAGGUCUGAGAGGAUGAUCCGCCACACUGGGACUGAGACACGGCCCAGACUCCUACGGGAGGCAGCAGUGGGGAAUUUUGGACAAUGGGGGCAACCCUGAUCCAGCCAUGCCGCGUGAGUGAAGAAGGCCUUCGGUUGUAAG